CUACGGGUCGCAGCAGUGGGGAAUAUUGCACAAUGGACGAAAGUCUGAUGCAGCAACGCCGCGUGGAGGAUGACACAUUUCGGUGCGUAAACUCCUUUUAUAUAGGAAGAUAAUGACGGUACUAUAUGAAUAAGCGCCGGCUAACUCCGUGCCAGCAGCCGCGGUAAUACGGAGGGCGCAAGCGUUACUCGGAAUCACUGGGCGUAAAGAGCGUGUAGGCGGAUAGAUAAGUCAGGAGUGAAAUCCUAUGGCUCAACCAUAGAACUGCUCUUGAAACUGUCUAUCUAGAAUAUGGGAGAGGUAGAUGGAAUUUCUGGUGUAGGGGUAAAGUCCGUAGAGAUCAGAAGGAAUACCGAUUGCGAAGGCGAUCUACUGGAACAUUAUUGACGCUGAGACGCGAAAGCGUGGGGAGCAAACAGGAUUAGAUACCCGGGUAGUC
rnacentral:rRNA from 1 species